AAGUCGAGGGGUAUGCUUCUUCGGAAGCAGAGACCGGCGCACGGGUGCGUAACGCGUAUGCAAUCUACCUUUCACAGAGGGAUAGCCCAGAGAAAUUUGGAUUAAUACCUCAUAGUAUAGCAGUUUCGCAUGAAACCACUAUUAAAGUCACAACGGUGAAAGAUGAGCAUGCGUCCCAUUAGCUAGUUGGUAAGGUAACGGCUUACCAAGGCAACGAUGGGUAGGGGUCCUGAGAGGGAGAUCCCCCACACUGGUACUGAGACACGGACCAGACUCCUACGGGAGGCAGCAGUGAGGAAUAUUGGACAAUGGGCGCAAGCCUGAUCCAGCCAUGCCGCGUGCAGGAUGACGGUCCUAUGGAUUGUAAACUGCUUUUAUACGAGAAGAAACCCUCCGACGUGUCGGAGCUUGACGGUAUCGUAAGAAUAAGGAUCGGCUAACUCCGUGCCAGCAGCCGCGGUAAUACGGAGGAUCCAAGCGUUAUCCGGAAUCAUUGGGUUUAAAGGGUCCGUAGGCGGUCAGGUAAGUCAGUGGUGAAAGCCCAUCGCUCAACGGUGGAACGGCCAUUGAUACUGUCUGACUUGAAUUAUUAGGAAGUAACUAGAAUAUGUAGUGUAGCGGUGAAAUGCUUAGAGAUUACAUGGAAUACCAAUUGCGAAGGCAGGUUACUACUAAUGGAUUGACGCUGAUGGACGAAAGCGUGGGUAGCGAACAGGAUUAGAUACCCUGGUAGUCCACGCCGUAAACGAUGGAUACUAGCUGUUGGGAGCA
rnacentral:rRNA from 1 species